CCUACGGGAGGCAGCAGUGAGGAAUAUUGGUCAAUGGACGCAAGUCUGAACCAGCCAUGCCGCGUGCAGGAAGACGGCUCUAUGAGUUGUAAACUGUUUUUGUACGAGGGUAAAUCCCGAUACGCGUAUCGGGUUGAAAGUAUCGUACGAAUAAGGAUCGGCUAACUCCGUGCCAGCAGCCGCGGUAAUACGGAGGAUUCAAGCGUUAACCGGAUUUAUUGGGUUUAAAGGGUGCGUAGGUGGUUCGAUAAGUUAGAGGUGAAAUCCCGGGGCUCAACUCCGGCACUGCCUCUGAUACUGUCGGGCUAGAGUGUAGUUGCGGUAGGCGGAAUGUAUGGUGUAGCGGUGAAAUGCGUAGAGAUCA
rnacentral:rRNA from 1 species